UACAGAGGAGCCAAGCGUUGUUCGGAAUUAUUGGGCGUAAAGGGUGCGUAGGCGGUUUUGUAAGUCUUGUGUGAAAUCUUCAGGCUCAACUUGAAGACUGCACGAGAAACUGCAGGGCUUGAGUGUGGGAGAGGUGAGUGGAAUUCCUGGUGUAGCGGUGAAAUGCGUAGAUAUCAGGAGGAACACCUGUGGCGAAAGCGGCUCACUGGACCACAACUGACGCUGAUGCACGAAAGCUAGGGGAGCAAACAGG
rnacentral:rRNA from 1 species